GUGCUUGCUUCAGCAGCACACAUAGUAACACUGGAAUAAUACAGAGAAAGUUAGCAUUGCUCCUGCAUAAGGCUGACACACAAAUUCAUGAAGUGGUUCGUAUUUUG
ensembl:snRNA U6 U6 spliceosomal RNA